GUCCUAGCCCUAAACGAUGGAUGCUUGGUGUGAGGGGAAUUAUCCCCUUCGCGCCGGAGCUAACGCGUUAAGUGAACCGCCUGGGGAGUACGGUCGCAAGACUAAAACUCAAAGGAAUUGACGGGGCCCGCACAAGCGGUGGAGCAUGUGGCUUAAUUCGAUGCAACGCGAAGAACCUUACCAGGGUUUGACAUGCCCGUCGUAUCCCCUUGAAAGAGGGGGUCAGUUCGGCUGGACGGUGCACAGGUGCUGCAUGGCUGUCGU
rnacentral:rRNA from 1 species